CAGUUAGUUUGUGGGCCGGUUGGCCGACGGGCGAGGUGGUGCGGGGGCGGAUUACGUGAGAGCGAAGGCGGAACGACAGCAACAACAACAGCACUGGUGAUGUCGAUGAUGAAGUAGUGGGUGGAGGAGGCGAUAAAUCUAAAUCUCUGCCCAGUUCAAUUUAGCUACUGCUCGCCGCACACGCGUCUAUCUUGUGUUUUCCCAGUUAGUUUCUGCAACAGCUCUGCUAGCACAACCACUACACACACACACACUCGGCCUGGAGAGUCUGGCAAGUCAAGCGGCGCCCACCGCCAAAGAGCAUCUAAAGGCCAGUCGAUUUCAGUCUUGCCGCGGCGAUGGGAAAGUUCCUAAAUAAUGCCAUCGAGUACGGUACCGGUAUUUGGUGUAUUACGAAUUCGGUGUGCAGCCACACAGAUGCGAUAUUUAUCGAUAGUCUCGGUGAGCUGUGCACGAAGCCAGCCAUGAAACAGUUAACUGUGACACUACUAUCGUUACUAUCGAUAGCUGGCAUUGUAAGCAAUAGUAUCGCAGUGCAGCAAUAGCUUUAAGCGGAAAGAAGCUAAUUCGCUGCCAUAUUUUAAAGAUUAAAUAAAGAGGAAAUGGAUAUUGCUCGAGAUUCAGGC
rnacentral:lncRNA from 1 species